ACGAUGAACCUCCUUCGGGAGGGGAUUAGUGGCGAACGGGUGAGUAACACGUGGGCAAUCUGCCCUGCACUCUGGGACAAGCCCUGGAAACGGGGUCUAAUACCGGAUACGACAUCCUCGGGCAUCCGAUGGAUGUGGAAAGCUCCGGCGGUGCAGGAUGAGCCCGCGGCCUAUCAGCUUGUUGGUGAGGUAACGGCUCACCAAGGCGACGACGGGUAGCCGGCCUGAGAGGGCGACCGGCCACACUGGGACUGAGACACGGCCCAGACUCCUACGGGAGGCAGCAGUGGGGAAUAUUGCACAAUGGGCGCAAGCCUGAUGCAGCGACGCCGCGUGAGGGAUGACGGCCUUCGGGUUGUAAACCUCUUUCAGCAGGGAAGAAGCGCAAGUGACGGUACCUGCAGAAGAAGCGCCGGCUAACUACGUGCCAGCAGCCGCGGUAAUACGUAGGGCGCGAGCGUUGUCCGGAAUUAUUGGGCGUAAAGAGCUCGUAGGCGGCUUGUCGCGUCGGUUGUGAAAGCCCGGGGCUUAACCCCGGGUCUGCAGUCGAUACGGGCAGGCUAGAGUUCGGUAGGGGAGAUCGGAAUUCCUGGUGUAGCGGUGAAAUGCGCAGAUAUCAGGAGGAACACCGGUGGCGAAGGCGGAUCUCUGGGCCGAUACUGACGCUGAGGAGCGAAAGCGUGGGGAGCGAACAGGAUUAGAUACCCUGGUAGUCCACGCCGUAAACGGUGGGCACUAGGUGUGGGCAACAUUUCCACGUUGUCCGUGCCGCAGCUAACGCAUUAAGUGCCCCGCCUGGGGAGUACGGCCGCAAGGCUAAAACUCAAAGGAAUUGACGGGGGGCCCGCACAAGCGGCGGAGCAUGUGGCUUAA
rnacentral:rRNA from 1 species